rnacentral:lncRNA from 1 species
UGGAUCCAAAAAUCAACAGAGCUGCCAUAGCAAACCAAACAAGGUGUUUUUUUGGCAAGAACUGAAGUGGUAACAAGAGGGAGGAGAGAGGCGUACCAGACAACAUCAAUCAAGGUAAGUUCUCUUCUGGCUCCAGAUCCUCCCUUCACUUUCCCUUCCCCAUUGCCUCUGGAUCUGCCACCGGUCUUCUCCAUAAUUGGAGGGAGUAGCAACAGUAAUAUGAUGUCUAUGUAAGUAAACACCACUCUGUGCAACUAGACCCGGUAGCAAAACCAACUUCUGUCUGGAUGUGUGCAAAUAGACACAAGGGAGUAGUUUUGCAAAAAAAUGUGCAACAAAUAGCCUAGAUUAGAAACAUGGAGUGGAUGUACUGUUUGUGCAAAAGGAGUACAUAUUUGUGCAACUAAAUCAUGGAUCCAAGCCAACUUUUCCUGCAAUGUGUUCAACCAACAGCCAAAACUAUAAAAGAGUAAAUAUAUGUGCACACUAAGCAUUAAUCCAAGGACAACUUUCCUGCAAAAUGUGUGCAACAAACAGCCCAGACUAGAAAGAUGGACUGCGUGUGUACUAUUUGUGCAAAAAGAAGCUCAUAUUUGUGCAACUGAGCCAUUGGUCGAAAACCAACUUUCAUGUAGCAUGUGUGCCAAAAAAACAUCCAAGACUAGAAAGAUGGACUAGGUGUACUAUUUCUGCAAAAAGAACAUAUUUGUGCAACUAAGCAUGGGUCCAAGCCAACCUUUUUACGCAAUUGUGUGCAACAAAACAGCCCAGACUGGAGUCCAUCUGUUCUAGUCUUUUGGUUGUUGGUUGCACACAUUGCAGGAAAAGUUGGUUUUGGAUCCAUGUGUUAAUUGGCACAAAUAUGGGCUUCUAUUUGCACAGACAUUACAUUUAGUCUAUCUUUUCAUGCAAAAAUGUGUGCAACCAACACACAGACUAGAUGAAACUAAAAAAAUACCGAAUUUGCUGUCUGUGCAAAUAUAAACAUAUAAUUGUGCAGCUAAACUUGUAUCCAAAGCCAACUUUUGUUGUAAAUGUGUGCAGCAAAGAAACCAGACUAGAAAAAGCACAAGAACUGUAUUAAAAAUGGGUGUAAAAAUAGUCAUGUCUCACACAAAUUGCUAUAGGGGGAAUGUGUUCUAUAGGAUGUUCUAUCUACUAAAAGUGAAACAGAAAAGAAGAUGAAAUUCUAUUUCCUGUCAUCAGAAAAGGUGCCAAAGGUGAUCACAUUUUGAUGUGAUCACCUAAGGUUUUGCAAAACAAAAGGUGCCAAAGGUGAUUAGUUAACACUGCAUAUAAAAUUUUUGUUGUUCUUCAAAAAAAAUGGAUAAAAAAGGUUGACGAUGCCAACUUGAUAUUAUGUUAGUUGUACAGCUACAAAGUGCAGAGGAUGCCAACUAAAAUAGUUACUCUUGUGCAACUAGAAAGGCCGAGGAUGCCAAUUAGUUAGAUGCUAUUGUGUAACUAGAAAAUGCUCAGGAUGCCAACUAAUUAAAUAGUCAUGUGCAACUAGAAAGGCUGAGGGUGCCAAGUCAUUAGAUACUCUUGGGAAACCCUCAAAAAUUUGAAGAUGAGACUAAAAAAUAGUUACUCUUGUGCAACUAGAAGGGCUGAGGAUGUCAAUUAGUUGGAUACUAUUUGUGCAAGUAGAAAGGCUGAGGAUGCCAACUAAUUGAAUGCUCUUGUGCAACUAUAAAUCUUAAGGAUGCCAAUUAAUUAGAUACUUUUGGGAAAAUAAAUAUUCAACACUUGCAUGACCAAUCAAAAAAUUGCACAUUCAGGUUCCAGGCUUCUAGAAGAAAAUGCUGAGGGUGUCAAUGCAACUACAAAAAGACUGAGGAUAUCAACCAGUUGGAUGGUAUUGUGCCACUAGAAAUGCUGAGGAUGCCAACUAAUCAGGUACUCUUGUGCAACUAGAAAAGCCUGAGGAUGCAAGCUCAUUCCGCUUAGCAGCCCGUUUCGAUUCCCGCCAAAAGGUCCUAUUUGGAGAACCCUGCAAUGAACAAAAAAGCUUGAACUACUGAGAUGGUAAAAGAAAAGAGCAUAAAUAAAUGGUCAUAGGAUAAAAGAAAAAGAAAAUAUGAACCUCUGUUUCACUACCAGGCACAUCUCCUUCACCAACCAUUUUGUCUCUGCAAAACAGAAAAGAACAAACAUAGUAGUCAAAAUUAACAAAAUCGCACAGGGGGAGACAAAAAUGGGGGUGUGGUAGGCUACAUUUACAUAUGAAGUUGACAACUUAAAUUAACAAGUUGCACAUGGGCAGAAAAAAUGAAAAAAAUGGCUACUCUUAAUGUGAAGUUGGCAACUCAAGAUAACAAGUUGCACAAGAAUUAAAAAGACAGUUACCCAUGAAUUCCUACCUGGGUGAGCGAAAAAAUUGCCACCCAUACAAAAUUAUACUACCUGGUUGGCAAGUCAAUCAAAACAACUUGGACACCGUGUGAUCCACACCUUUUGCAUCCACAUUGUGCAACUAAAAAAAUAGCAGCUUCAGAAAGACUACCCUGGUUGAAUUAAAAUAAAAGUUGCACAUGAUUUGCUGCCUAGUUGUACACAAAAACUGCCACCCAAAACAAAAAAAAUUCAUCAAAAACAAAAAGUUAGUGUAACAUCCCAAAUUUUUAAUUUGGAAUGUUAUACAAUAGAUCAUUAUUGCACAUCAUAUUUAUUGCAUUUUUGCCUUGAUCCUGGAAAUUCUACGCAACUCAAGGACCCAUUGAGAGAGUUGCGGAUUUCAUAAAUUUCAUAUUUGAGUUUUCUCAAAUUUUGGAAAUAGGAUCAUUUGAUUUUAUUUAUUUUAUCUUCAAUUAUUUCCAAUUAUAAAUUAUGAGAGAGGGAAUAAAAUGACUUUCCCAAAAUAAAGAAAAUAUUGAGGAUUAAUAAAAAAAUCAAAUAAGAUUUUAUUUUGGAUUUCAUUGCUAUUUUAUUUGAAUUUAAGAAAAAUGCGUGUUUUUCAAAGUUGCAUUUAGGCCCCAAAUAAAUGUUCAUCUAAACCGGCUUGAUUUUAGGAGCCGAGGAAAAUUUAUUUCGGGAUUUUUUGAGUCUGUAGUAUUUCUUUCGUUUGUUUUUCUGCGCAAAAAUUAUUUUAAAAAAAUCCGAACCGACUACGGGCCGGGAUCGGCGAGGACUCUCCUGGCCGGGGCCUUUAUAUAUCGCCACCCCGAGCCGCCGUCGCCGNNNNNNNNNNNNNNNNNNNNNNNNNNNNNNNNNNNNNNNNNNNNNNNNNNNNNNNNNNNNNNNNNNNNNNNNNNNNNNNNNNNNNNNNNNNNNNNNNNNNNNNNNNNNNNNNNNNNNNNNNNNNNNNNNNNNNNNNNNNNNNNNNNNNNNNNNNNNNNNNNNNNNNNNNNNNNNNNNNNNNNNNNNNNNNNNNNNNNNNNNNNNNNNNNNNNNNNNNNNNNNNNNNNNNNNNNNNNNNNNNNNNNNNNNNNNNNNNNNNNNNNNNNNNNNNNNNNNNNNNNNNNNNNNNNNNNNNNNNNNNNNNNNNNNNNNNNNNNNNNNNNNNNNNNNNNNNNNNNNNNNNNNNNNNNNNNNNNNNNNNNNNNNNNNNNNNNNNNNNNNNNNNNNNNNNNNNNNNNNNNNNNNNNNNNNNNNNNNNNNNNNNNNNNNNNNNNNNNNNNNNNNNNNNNNNNNNNNNNNNNNNNNNNNNNNNNNNNNNNNNNNNNNNNNNNNNNNNNNNNNNNNNNNNNNNNNNNNNNNNNNNNNNNNNNNNNNNNNNNGCCGCCGCCGUUUUUUUAGAAAAACCAUUCGGUUUUUCCAUUGGUUUUUCAUCGGUUUUUUUAGAUCCGUUUUUUUAUUAGAUCAGUUUUUUUCGGUUUAGGUUAAUUAGCGAGCGUUCGCUCGUUUGUUCAUUUAAUGAAUGCGUUCAUCAUUUAGAUCCAGAUAACGAACUUUCGUUCGUUAAUCUGUUCGUUGUUUUUCUUUUUCUCGGAUUUAUUCCGCGAUUUUUCUUAUCGCGAUUUCUGAUCCGAUUUUUGUAUUAGUAUAACUUUUUGCUCGUUUAUCGGAAUCACGCGAUUCAAGUGCCUAGAGUUUCGUCUCGAAACCCUCUUUCCGAAUAACCAACUCAAACAAGUUUUUGCUACUGUAAAAUUUGACUUAGGUCCAAAUUAGUAAACGAAGCUUGUUUAUUUCGCCGUUUGACUUUCGUUGCUUCGUUCGAUUUGAUUCUUUUUGCAAACCGGAGUUCUUAAGUUGAACUUUCUGGUUAGAUCUCUUAUUUGAGUUUUAACUGUGCAUUAGAUGAGUACUUAUUGUAUGCUUGUUUGUUUGCGAUAGAGUAUCCGGAUUGCGCCGCUUGCUACUUUGAAUCCCUAGGUUUCGCGGAUCAUCAGCAAGGCAAGUAACACUUUGAUCAUACCUCUUUACUACCCAGUUUUAUUGCAUUAGGUCAAUCCUCAAAUAAUUGCAUGAUUAGGAUCUGAUUUAAUAUGUAAAUUUUGGGAAGUAGAUGAGGUAGUACCUAUUACCUGUUUUAUUAUCAAACCCUUGGGAGUUACUCUACGUUUGCUUAUUAUGCCAUGCUAUGCUAGUAGACGUGGAUUGGGUGAGUGUAUCCAUGACAGAUGUGAGAUUGUUAAUUUAAUGGUUUAUUUUAAGGUGGCAACUUUAAUACACAUCUGGGUGGACUGAGGCACCUGGGUAUUCGAGUGAUUGCCUGUUUUUCUUUUGGACCGCCACCCAGGCUCAAAGGGAUCAUGAGAUUAUUCAUCGUAGAAACUUCCGUGUGCAGCCACAAGAUACUAUGGGCUCUAGCAUAGUUGACUAAGUUGUGUGAACUCUUAUAGUGGUAGACUAGCAGAUGUAAGGGAUGUAGGUUGGUACUGUCUACCCGAUCGUAAGGUGCUAGCGCUUCUAAAAGACUAUGUCUCGGUCAUCCGUUUAUCAAACACCAUGUAGUGCGAGAAUCCCAACGGAGGAGAUCAAGUCUUGUGGGGAAAAGUGCGCAAACCUCUGCAGAGUGUAUAAACUAAUCAUGGGUAGCCGUGUCCCCGGUUAUGGACAUCUUGAGUAUCUAGUACUUGGAUUAUCAUGUGAAUCUCAUCAUGUUAUUUUAAUUAAUAUUGUUGGGUUUGUUUAAUAAUGAUGUUACUUAAUUGGGAUUGAGAAUGCUGUCAACCAUUCUCAAUGUUUAACAACCACCAUGAUAGUUAAAUAAAUUUAUUCCUUUGCAGUGGGGAAAAUUUGGCUUUAUGCAAAAACUGUAACCAUAGAGCUUUCCACCAGUCAUAUAUGCAUGUAGUAUAGCAUUAUUCUUUCAUUACUCUCUAUGUGUUACAUUCCCAGCAUAUUCCAUGUGCUAACCCGUUUCGGGCUGCAACGUUCAUGUUGCAGACUUUUCAGACAACGAGUAAGAUUCCUUAGGAUCGUAGUUCUAUACUCAGUGAUGUCGUUGGAGUUGAUGGCUCACUUAUCUUCCAAGCCUUCCGCUGUUAUCGUUAUUUAGAUGGCCUUAAGCCAUAUUUAUUGUAAUAAGCUCUCUUUGGAGACAUUCAAUGUAAUAAGUAUGUGAUUGCUACUCUGUUAUAAAUCCUUCGAGUACUGUGCGUGUCAGCAUUACUGAUCCAGGGAUAACACUGAUGCACACAGAUCAGACUGUUUGAGGUCUGGUUGCUACAAGAUGGUAUCAGAGCACACGCUGACUGUAGGACACGACCACUAAGCUAAAGCCCUAGAUCACUACUCUCUCUUCUCAUUUCUGACUCCUCAUCUUUUCUACUCUCUCUUAGGAUGGCGGGUGCAAGGAACAAGUUCACGCAACCGGAUGAAGAAACACCCUUUGGACGACACCUGAAGGAAGUUACCAAGUACCUGAACAUCGGAGUACCAAGCUUCACCAGGACCUAUAACGCCACCUUACCUGAAGAAGAGCGCUGGAUGAAUCAAGUACAAGUUCCAAGAAGGACGUUCAUGCCCAUUGUCGGUGUCAAAACCGGCGGAUCUCGGGUAGGGGGUCCCGAUCUGUGCGUCAAGGCUGAUGGUAACAGGAAGCAUGGGACACAGAUGUUGGUUCUGGCCCUCUCGAUGGAGGUAAAACCCUACUUCCUGCUUGAUUAAUAUUGAUGAUAUGGGUAGUACAAGAGUAGAUCUACCACGAGAUUGUAGAGGCUAAACCCUAAGAGCUAGCCUAUGAUGGUAUGAAUGUAAUUGUGAUCGGCCUUCUAAGGACCAACCUCUUCGGUUUAUAUAGACAUCGAAGAGAGCUAGGGUUUACAUGGAGUCUGUUACAAGGAAGGAAAUAUAAUAUCCGGAUCGCCAAGCUUGACUCCCACGCAAAGGAGAGUCCCAUCCGGACAUGGGCCGAAGUCUUGAGUCUUGUAUCUUCACGCUGUAUACAGUCCGGCUGUCCCGAUACCCCCUAAUCCAGGACUCCCUUAGUAGCCCCUGAACCAGGCUUCAAUGACGAUGAGUCCGGCGCGCAGUAUUGUCUUCGGCAUUGCAAAGCGGGUUCCUCCUCCGAAUUCUCCAAAGUGGUUAUCGAACACGCAGGCCGUGUCCGGAUCUGCAAGAUGAUCUUCACAUGGCAUAGAUCUAUUUUGUGGGCAAUCUUCAUGCGUCGUCCCUUGUAUCGUGACUUGGUCCAUCACAAACCGUCGUUCCCUAUCCCACAAUGACUCGUGUUACGAGGCGGUUUUAUUGGCACGUCCCGUCGAGGCAGAGAUUGUGUCCCUUUUAUUAUGGGAUUUUCCAUCAAUAUGAGCGUGCGUGACCCCACGACGGCUAUUGGUAUAACCCCGUGUGUUUUUAGGUAAGCCUCAAACGUCACAUCAGGGACUCUUGAUAUUCACCUUCUUUAUAAAGGGAUCAAGACCUAUGCCUCUUUUUUCACCUUCAUCGCGCCUUCUCGUACCUCGAGUUCUAAAACCCAAAGCCCAGGCUCCACUUCGCCGGAAUCCUCCAAUAUGUCCGGAUUCAACACUCAAGGCCGAUGGGUGGCCUCCUCGAUCGAAGAGAAGGACAUUGAAAAACUUAGGGAGGUCAGAUACCUAACCACAGAUAUCCAGCACAGGCUCCCUGCUCCAGGGCAGGUCAUCCCUACGCCAGAACCCAAUGAGUGUGUUGUUUUCGUCCCACACUUCCUCCGCAGUUUGGGUUUCACCCUCAAUCCCUUCGUGAGGGGGCUCAUGUUCUAUUAUGGGUUGGAUUUUCAUGAUCUGGCUCCAGAUGCCAUCCUCCAUAUCUCGUCGUUCAUUAUCGUGUGCGAGGCUUUUCUCCACAUCACCCCGCACUUUGGCUUAUGGCUCAAGACCUUCAAUGUGAAGCCGAAGAUGAUCGGGGGGCGACAUGUGGAGUGCGGAGGUGUUGUAAUAAGCAGAAACACCGACGCCCCAUGGCCGGAGGGUUCUUUCCUAGAAGUAUCUGACGUAUGGGAGCAGAGGUGGUUUUAUGCUAUGGCCCCAAGGGGCACAAAGUGGGUAGCCGCCCCUGAGUUCCGCUCGGGCCCUCCAUCGUAGUUGGCAUCCUAGAUAGACGUAGGGCGUAAAUGGGGGGCCGCAGGCGAUGUACCAAUACUGCAGAACUGCAUCUAGGAGCUUCUCGAGAGGGAUAUCAACCUUGUUAGCGUAAUGCAAGUGAUGUUAAUCCGGCGGAUGUUGCCGUGCCAACGCCGGCCUCUUCGGAUGUGGGAGUUCAAUCCGAGGGUCCGCAGACCGUGAAGCACUUCUUCGGCUUGAAGCUCGAAGAGAUGUGCAAAUUAUUCUUCGAACGGAAAGUAGUGUGUCCAGAUACCACCGAGGAUGCGGGCCUAAGCUACAAUCGCCUAGAUACUCAAGUAAGUAGCCUUGAUACCGGACACCCUGUUUUGUAUUUGUCAUGAUUGUUUAUUCUGAAACUCAUCCGCGUCCAGGAAUGGCUCAGCAAGGCGGAGAGAAUUAGGUGUCCGGCGCCACUUCCCGAAGGCUCGCCCGCCCCCACCAUGGCCAAGAUGCUCGACCGGGUACUCAGCAGAAUGCCCUCGGGGAAAGAUAAGGGGAGGAACGAAGAAACCGAACCCCACAUGCUACGCAUCCGAACCGGGGGAAUUAUUACCUCCCCCAAGGAUGAUAGUCGGGGAGGGGAGGCUAAAGCCUCCACCCCGCGCGGGAAGAAGAGGGCCGCCUCCGAAGAUUUGGAGGUGGAGAUGCCCAAAUUAGAGAAAAAGACAUCCCUAGGGGGCCUUGCCCUGACGGGCACCCUCACCGCACCAUGCCCUCCAACGGGCCAGCCCUCCACCGAGCUGUAAGUCAAUCUACGAUCCGAAGGUACUGUGUUUCUCCUAGAUCAAUAACCAGGAUUCAACUUUUUGCAGUCCGGCCAGCAGCUCCUCUCAACAGGGUUCAUCUUCGGGGGACCUUCCUCCGGAGAUGAUGGAGAGUGAGACCCCACCCCCUCCGACUCAUGAAGCGGGCGACACCGAGGUGUCAUCACGGAGGAGUCCGGAUCUGCCAAAGCUGGAAGUCAAUCCAUUAGCCGCCCUACACCCGGAGCAUUUGGCUACAACGGGGGGCGAUGGGAAGAGUCCGGCGCAGUUCGAUGUCCGGUCGGACGUACUGACGGGCUUGCUGGAGCGAGCUGCGCUCUCGGAGGAGCACCACUCAUUAAUGAGCAUGGUGCUCAAGAAGAUUUCAUCCGCUACAAGCGGUUUGAAUGAAGCAUUCACAAGCCUGCUCAGAGGCUUUGAGGUAUGUAAUGGAGAACUCACUAUUUCUUUGGUUGUAAGGCACGCGCUAGGUGUGCUCCAUAUAGAUAGUAGCCCCUGAGACUCUGGUUGCCCGCCCUAGGCAGCAAACGGGGGAUCAUAAACCAAUGAUAGUGCUGUAAAUGUGUGCAGGUACCUGUGGGUCCGGACGUCGGCCAGUCCGUCGAAGUUGCCAAACUAACGAGGCAAAUUGGAUCGAUUGAUGCCGAUAUCACGCUGGUGAAUGAGCGGCUAGACAAAUAACAAGGUAUGUGUCAUGCCUUCCCUUGUAUAGAGAAAAUAUGAAGAUGGCAUGAUAUUGAUGUAGUAUGUUUGGACUGCAGAUGGUGCUGCUGCCGUAGAGGCCCUGAGGGCGGAACUUGCUCAAGCCAAGGAACAAGCUCGGGUGAGCAAUGCGGCUGCCCUAAAGGCGGCCGAGGAACUGAGGGCCGAACAAGCUGCUCAUCGCCGAAGCGAGGAAAAGAUAGCCGAAAUGGCUAUUGAGUUAAAAGAUGCCGCUGACCGGUAUGAGCUCCUUAAAAAGGAGUGUGAGGGUAAUUCGGCCGAACUGAACAAGGCGCUGAAUGCCACCAAGGAAAUCUGGACCGAGCUCAAGGGUGCGUGGGAAGCUUCGAUAGGCUGGUGAAAUCGCGGUUGGGGGCUCCUAUUUACUGCGGACGAAAUUUUUUGAUCCGAAGUACGCUCCCUUGGAUGGACGUUGGAGUCCGGCGGACGCAUAUACGGAUUUGACGAAGAGUACAGCUGACGCUGCCGACUUCUUCAAAGGUCAAGGUGACAAGGAAGUGGAGAAGCUUUUUUGGUCGCAAUUCCAUGCUCCCAUUUGCCCGCUGCCGUUGAGUGACAAGAUGGCUGCUGUAGCGGAGCUUCACAGGCUGUCCGGGCUUGCAAUGCGGUCUGUAAUAGAUCAUCUUUGGCCGAAGGGGCCUAAGCCGGACAACUACUUUGGUUUGGUGCAACAGUUCCUUGGGGCCGUGCCUCGGAUCGAUGCCAUGAGGAGAUCAGCGUGUAUAGAGGGUGCAUGGAUGGCUCUCGUCCGCGUUAAAGCCUAUUGGACGGAUAUGGAUGCCACCAUGAUAGCGGCCCAGGAUCCGGUGGGGGGCCAAUAUUCGGCUGAGCACUACUUGGCGUAGGUCAUAGAAGGUGCCCGUCUAGUAGAGGCGCAGUGCUCGAAGAAUGUCCUGUUUGAAUGAACGGAAUCAUUGUAAAAACAAUGUUUAUUUUGAUUAUGAGGCUAGAUUUAUACUAUUUGCCUGAGAAUAUGAUUAUUUCCCCUGUGCGGCCAUUUAUAUAUAUAUAUAUAUGUAUAUAUAAAUAUGUAAUCCGAAAGUUAGCAGUCGUUGGCUUCAGCCCCCACGCAUACAAUACGGGGGUGUUCACGAAAAAAUAUGCUUAAUCACACUUGAUCCAAUGUCUUGGUCCAUUAAGGAGGUGAUCGCACGACGAACUAGGCAACCGGACUAUAUAGCUGUAACACUUUCGCUUAGCCACGGGAUUCUAAAGUGGGGCUACUAUGUAGCCCCUGGUACCUUCGUGUGCAUCCGAAUACGAGCGCGUAUGUACCAGGCUGGGAAAUGGCCCUUCGUUAAUGCGGAGGAAUCCUAAAGAUUCCAGUGAGUCCUCGAGUGGUUGACCAGUCUCUCGCUGUAUCAUAACAGUCUGUUUUCGGCUUUCUCUACCGAGGUGCUCGUCCGGAAUAACCAGGGCACAAUCGCAGUAGUUCUCCUUUGGCCACCCUAGCCGAUAAUAACGGAACGUAAGGCGGCAAACCCAGGAGCCGGGCAAACCCAACAUUUGACCAAAGACAUGAUCCGGAGUUGAUGCAUAUAAGGCCUAACUCGUGACGUCGAACACUCUCGAAGGUAUUCGGACUUUAUAAUAGAUGAUAGGCUCAAGAAUGCCUAUUCAUUAUAAACCCUAUGUUUCCAGGUACGCGCAUUAAUCUGUCAUGGCGAAAUGCCAAAAACGGCAGUAUCAUCUGUGGGUAUGGAACCCAUGGGAUGGUUAAACAACAAAAGGCAAUAGAAAAGGUUUACACAGGGGCUUAAUCUAAAAAGAAACCUGUUGAACGGGGCCCUGCUGCACGUCUGCGCCUUUGUCUCCGUUGUGCCGUAUCCUGGAAGGGUAUCGUGCGAAAGUUGUAUGCGGAAAAAGAAAACUCAUAGGAGGUUACAACAUUAGUACACGAUGGAUAAAAGUGUAAGCCGUUGGCCUGCCAAUAAGGUUGAGCCAAGUGCGGGGCUUUAUUAGGUAGUUAUAGCCCCUGGUAUCCGCUAUAGGAUUACAUAUACGGUGCCCUGGUUUGAUCUGGGCUACCGUACUCGUCUAAUCGUGUCCAUGGUCUUAACGACCGGUCAUAUUUUUUUUGAUGUUGGAGGUCGCUUAUAGUCCGGCCGCGAGGGCCAUCGCAUGUUCCUCUGCGCAUGACGAGCGCUCUGUUAUUCCGCUAACGGUGAUGACGCCUCAUGGACCGGGCAUCUUAAGUGUAAGGUAGCCAUAGUGUGGCAAUGCAUUGAAGCAGGCGAAGGCCGUUCUUCCGAGCAUUGCGUGAUAAUCGCUUUGGAAGGGUGCGAUGAUGAAGAGUAGUUCUUCGCUUCUGGAGUUGCUUGGAGAGCCGAAUUUUACCUCCAGUAUGACGGAGCCCCUGCUGUAGGCUUCAACGCCUGGUAUCACCACUUCAAAGGUGGUGUUGCUUUGGCUGAUUCUGGAUGGGUUUAUCCCCAUCCUGCGGAUAGUGUCCUCACAUAUUAAACUGAGACUACUGCCGCCGUCCAUGAGGGCCCGGGUGAGACGGUAUCCGUCGAUCAUUAGGUCAAGCACCAAGGCCUCUGAUCCGCCGUGCUGAAUACUAGUCCGGCCAUCCAAGUGAUCGAAAGUGAUCGGAUAGGACAUCCAGUAGUUAGAUGUGGGAAUAAUGGACUCUAUAUCGCGUGCAUCUUUAUGCGCACGUUCGUGCCUUCUCAUGGGUGUACGAGUCGCGUGGAUCAUGUUCACUGUUUUAACUAAACCUGGGCAAACAUCGGGCCGGGCCGGGUUUUGGGCUGGGCUUGUAAAAGCCCGACCUUCAUUUCUCAAGCCCGAGCCCGGCCCGAAGCCUGAAAUACUCCAUAUUUUCAAGCCCGAGCCCGGCCCGAAGCCUGAAAUACUCCAUAUUUUCAAGCCCGAGCCCGGCCCGAAGUCAAGCCCGAAGCCCGAAAGCCCAGCCCGAAUGCUAUUUUAUAGUACGCGCACGUGCAAGCCCAGCCCGAAGCCCGAAAGCCCGGCCUGAAAUACGGGAAAAUUGAAGCCCGAGCCUGGCCCGAACUAUCUUUCGGGCUGCAAAACAAAGCCCGAGCCUGGCCCGAAUGUCAAGCCUGGCCCGGCUCGGUCCGGGUUUUUCGGGCCGGGCUCGGGCCGGGCUGCCCAUGCCCGGGUUUAGUUUUAACCUCUGGCGGGAAUUUUUUCUGUCCCCCAGUGCUCGGCUGGCGAGGUUCGUCCUCGUCCUCACUUGGUGUUCCCCUUCCCUUGUGUUCGGCAUUUAAUUUGCCGGCCUGCUUGAAGACCCAGCACUCUCUAUGCGUGUGGUUCGCAGGUUUGUCAGGGGUGCCAUGAAUUUGACAUAGUCUUUCCAGGACUCUGUUCAGACCGGACGGUCCCUCUUUGCUGCCUUUAGAUGGCUUAUUUUGCUGAUUAGGUCGAGAGCCCCUGAAUCCGGCAUUAACCAUCGUGUUAUCCGGGCUCUAUUCCUUGUUUUGGCGUUUGUUUUUAUGACGCUGCGGCUUCCCGUUGCCAUCCCUUAUUUCGGAUGUGUUGGGGUCACUGGUGCCUUUACGGGCUAGCCAGCUAUCUUUGCCCGCGCAGAAGUAGGUCAUAAGGCUUGUUAGGGCUGCCAUUGUCCUAGGCUUUUCUUGGCCGAGGUGUCUGGCGAGCCACUCGUCACGGAUGCUAUGUUUGAAUGCCGCUAAGGCUUUGGCAUCCGGACAAUCGACAAUUUGAUUCUUCUUAGUGAGGAAUCUGUUCCAAAGCUUGCGGGCAGACUCUCCGGGUUGUUGGAUUAUGUGACUUAAAUCUUCAGCAUCCGGAGGCCGGACAUAAGUCCCUUGAAAAUUGGCCCUGAAAGCAUCCUCGAGUUCCUCCCAGCUCCCAAUUGAAUUUUCGGGGAGGCUUUUCAACCAGUGCCGAGCUGGUCCCUUCAGUUUGAGGGGAAGGUAUUUGAUGGCGUGAAGGUCAUCCCCAUGAGCCAUAUAUAUCUGCAGGAUAAAGUCCUCGAUCCAGACCCCUGGGUCUGUCGUUCCGUCGUAUGCCUCUAUGUUCACAGGUUUAAAGCCCUGUGGGAAUUCAUGGUCCAGUACUUCAUCAGUAAAUCACAGGGGGUGAGCAGCCCCUCUGUAUUUGGACGUAUUGUGGCACGCCGUCGGCUGUUGUUGUGUUCGGUGUUUAUUCCGAACUGGUAUUUGGUUGUCAUAACUGUUUUGACGACCACAGUCCCCCGCCGGGGUGUGUCCUUUAGAUCCAUAGAUGGACCUAGCUGCACCAGCUUUCUUAUCCAGGUGCUCACAUAGAUCGUGCGCGUCUUCGGUAGUUGCUUUAUUGCGGUUAUGAAGUGGUACGUCUUGUCUCCUGGUCGUGUUAUUCUUUGGUGGAACGGCCUCGUCUUGAAUUCUGGCAGUAGCUUUCGUUUUGGGUAGCUCUUUGUGUGGCGAUCGUCGCCAUAUCUUUCUUCAGUGUCUAGCACUUUGUUCCAUCUGCGAUUGAGCGUUUCUUGUGCGGCUUUAAGCCGUUGCUUCUGCCUCUUCAGACUUCUCGCUGUGGCCAUAAGCUUUCUGUGGAGGUUCUCUCGUUCCACGCGUUCUUCCGGAAUGAUGAAUGCGUCAUCGUCUGGACCGUCUUCUUGUCCUGGGCCGGUUUGAUGAACUCGUCCCUCUGGAUCAUUGUCUUCGGGCGUCUGCUCUGAGCUAUGUUCAUCCUGACCUGGUUCGUCCUGCUCCAUCGCUGGUUCCGUUUGGUCGUUGUUGCCUUCGGGGUUGACCGAAGUAUCCAUCCUUCUGGCGCUCUUGCUGAUAUUUUUGCUGUUGCUGGAUUUGGAAUGGCGUCUGCACCGUCGCUUUUGUUUUUGCCCAGGGGUUUUAUCUUCCGGAUUGUCACCGUCGUCUUCCUUGGGUGUAUCCACCAUGUAUAUGUCAUGUGACGAGGCGGGAAUCUAGUACCCCAUAGAUUCUGAGUCUUCUCCUGCAUCGUCGUCCAUACCGUCGAUGCCUUCGGAGUCGAAGUCAAGCACGUCGGUUGAAUCAUCAACCGUGGCUAUGAAGUGGGUGGUGGGUGGGCAACGAAUUUUUUCUUCGCCUGCUUCCCACUUGAGCCGGACAUAGUUCGGACCAGAAUUCUCUGUUAGAGAGAGAAUUUUUAAUGAGUUCAGUAUGUCUCCAAAGGGCAAGUGCUGGAAGAUGUCCGCAGCGGUGAACUCCAUUACCGGGGCCCAACCAGGCUUGGUGGGCUCGAGAGUGCGUGGACUGGGACCUACAACCGGAUACAAAUCUGAGUGCCCAGAGUCACAGGCUUUCCCAGAGGUGGGGCCUGUGUUCGGCUCCAUCGCCGAUGAGGGUACAACCUGCGGGGCGAGGUCCAGCCCUCCAUGCUUAGGCAACGCAUCCUGCCCCGGAUUUAGAUCCGAGGCUUCUGCCGGGGUGAUAUCCCGAGCAUCGUCUGAUGGCAGGUCUAAGCCGUGCUCAUCAUGACUAUUCGGCGCUCCUUGCGCGAUCUGCUCCAGAUGACCAAGCAAAACGGUCUGCAGUGUGAAGUCGCCGAACACGAAGAUUUGUCCGGGGAGGAAAGUCUCAACCUGGACAGCCUCGUUGAUGAUAAUUGAAGGAGCCAUCAAGCCUUCCAGCGACAUCACAGAGGAACUCUCAAUGAAAGCACCAAUGUCGGUGUCAAAACCGGCGGAUCUCGGGUAGGGGGUCCCGAUCUGUGCGUCAAGGCUAAUGGUAACAUGAAGCAUGGACACAGAUGUUUACCCAGGUUCGGGCCCUCUCGAUGGAGGUAAAACCCUACUUCCUGCUUGAUUAAUAUUGAUGAUAUGGGUAGUACAAGAGUAGAUCUACCACGAGAUCAUAGAGGCUAAACCCUAAGAGCUAGCCUAUGAUGGUAUGAAUGUAAUUGUGAUCGGCCUUGUAAGGAUCAACCUCUCCGGUUUAUAUAGACACCGGAGAGAGCUAGGGUUUACUUGGAGUCGGUUAUAAGGAAGGAAAUAUAAUAUCCGGAUCACCAAGCUUGCCUCCCACGCAAAAGAGAGUCCCAUCUGGACACGGGCCGAAGUCUUGAGUCUUGUAUCUUCAUGCUUCAAUAGUCCGGACGUUGUACACAGUCCGGCUGUACGGAUACCCCCUAAUUCAGGACUCCCUCACCCGUCACUGAGCCCAUAGAGUUUUCCUUUGAUGCACCAACCUAGAAUCUAGGAAAGAGCAUGGCAGCCCACAUCACCAUGGGACGUAUUGGAGAAGUUUACCACAAGGAGCUUAAGGAUACUAUCUACCAGAUUUGUGGGCCCCGAGAUGAGCAAUGGGAGAUGAUCAGCACCAGGAAGGACAGAUCAAUUACAACUUUCAUCCAGGAGUUAAACCAGCACAUUCGACGCCAGGAGAACCAGAUGUGCGCAGGCAUGAUGGAUCUAAAGAAGUCCAUGACCAAGAUCACGGAACUGGAGGAGGAACUCAAGUCUACACACGAUGGAUAUGAGGAGGAAAUAGCAACGCUAGUAGAGAAGAAUGAUGAUCUGAAGAAGAAGCUAAGAGUGUUUAUGGGAUUUCCCGCAACUGGAGGGGAUGAAGAUUGCACUUGUCCAGAGAACUACAUCAUCAUCGACGACACCGACUCGGACCCAGACGAUAGUGAUGAUGACUAUGUUGACGAAGCUGGAGCAGAUAUCAUGGAGUCUUCAUCGGAGCAGUUUUUCUAGUAGACCACCAUAACAGUAGUAGUAUUUCCCUCCAUGUAUCUAUUAUAGUUUGAGCACUUUUGUAAUGAUAGAUAGACCGUUGUAUGCACUUGCUUGAUUGAAUGAAGUGUUUUGAGUGCAUUUGUCUCAUGUGCAUAUGGGUAGUGUUUUCCCUCUAGACCUCAUUCUAUUCUGUAUUCUCAUCUUUUCUAAACCCUCAGAUGCCUCCGAGACGCGACAAUGGAUUUGCUUUCCCACCGGAGCUCACUCAGUUGAUCCAGCAGCAGAAUGCCUUGAUGCAGUUGUUAGUACAGAAUCAGAAUCAGGGGAACAACAAUAACAACAAGAACCCACCACCACCACCACCUGUGGAUCACUUAACCCAUUUUCUUAGGCUGAAUCCGCUGGUGUUCUCCAGUAGCAUCGAGCCGAUUGUUGUAGAUGAUUGGCUUCGCAAGACAGCCAUGGAGUUGACCACUGCAGGAUGCACAAAUGCGGAGAAGGUGCGAUUUGCCGCACAUCAGCUCGAAGGACCCGUAGCAUCAUGGUGGGAGAAUUUCACGGCCACCUAUCCAACAGACACAGUCACAUGGGAUCAGUUUCAGCAGGCUUUCCGUACUGCCCAUGUUUCAGCAGGAGCUAUGGCCAUGAAGAAGCAUGAGUUUCACAACUUACGCCAAGGAGGACGUACAGUUGGCCAGUAUGUGGAUGACUUUAGUGAGCUAGCACGUUAUGCCCCUGAUGACGUUGCUACGGAUGCAUCUAAGCAAGAUAAGUUUCUGGAAGGACUGAAUGAUGAGCUAAGCAUGCAGUUGAUGGUAGCAAGUUUCAAUAACUACCAGGAGCUGGUAGAUAGAUCUCUCAUGAUUUAAGGGAAGCAGCAGCAGAUUGAGAACCGCAAGAGGAAGUAUGGACAAGGGAAGUACAAUUCUGGAGCUCAGCAGAACCCACGUUUUACCCCGAAAUUGGGAGGACAGUACCACCAUACCCAUGGAGGUGGUAGUUCACACAAAUAUAAUGGUUCCAAGAAUGGUAACGGGAAUGGAGGAAAUAAUGGCCAGAACCGUACCAACCCCUCAACACCAGCCAAGAGAGAUCUGAGUCAAGUCACUUGCUUUAAGUGCCAAAAGACCGGACAUUACGCCAAUGAAUGUCCUGAAGGCCAGAAUGGAAAUGACAAUGGAAGCUCUGGGAAGAAGCCAAACCCUUUCAACAGAGGAUAGGUGAACCACGUUAGUGUGGAGGAGGUUGAAGCCCAGCCCGAUGCAGUAAUAGGUAAGUUUUUGGUUAAGUCAUUUACUGCACUCGUUCUUUUUGAUACUGGUGCAUCACAUUCAUACAUAUCAAGGGGAUUUGUGGAUAAGUAUAAACUGCCAACCCAAGCCCUUAGGUCACCCAUGUUGGUAACCUCGCCUGGAGCAAAAUAUAUGGCUAGAAUAUGGUGUGAUCGGUUACCAUUAAGGAUUGGUAACUAUGUGUUUCCCUCGGACCUAAUAGUAUUGGAAUCACAAGGAUUGGAUGUGAUAUUAGGCAUGGAUUGGUUAUCAAAGUAUGGAGGGAACAUUGAAUGCGCCAGUAAGACGAUUUUGCUUACAACGCCAGAAGGAAAGAGGAUCAAGUAUGUAUCCCGGCAUGAGCCGAAGAGGACUCAAGUAAAUUCCUUAUCAGGAGUUGUGCAGGAGGAAGUACCAGUGGUGAAGGAUUUUCCUGAUGUAUUUCCAGAAGAGUUGCCAGGCAUGCCACCGGAUAGAGACAUCAAGUUUUUGAUUGAGCUUUUGCCAGGCACAGGGCCGAUAUCUAAGAGACUGUACCGGAUGCCCGCUAAGGAUAUGGAGGAAAUUAAGAAGCAGAUUAAAGAGUUACUGGAUAAAGGCUAUAUUCGCCCAAGUUCUUCGCCUUGGGGAUCACCAGUACUUCUAGUGGAGAAGAAGGAUGGAUCAUUGAGGAUGGUUGUUGACUAUCGAGGAUUGAAUGCAGUAACAAUCAAGAACAAGUACCCAUUGUCGAUGAUCAAUGAUCUGUUUGACCGAUUGCAAGGAGCAAAGGUAUUUUCCAAGAUUGAUUUGCAAUCAGGAUACCAUCAGUUGAAGAUUCGAGAGCAGGAUAUACCUAAGACAACUUUUACCACCAGGUACGGGCUAUAUGAGUAUACCGUUAUGUCAUUUGGUCUGACUAACGCACCUGCCUAUUUCAUGAACAUGAUGAACAAGGUGUUUAUGGAAUUCUUGGAUAAGUUCGUCGUGGUGUUCAUUGAUGAUAUUUUGGUCUACUCGAAGAACGAAGAGGAGCAUAAGGAGCAUUUGCGUUUGGUACUCGAGAAGCUCAAAGAACAUCAGUUAUAUGCCAAGUUCAGCAAACAUGUUAUAUCCGGAGAAGGAAUAGCAGUAGAUCCCACCAAAGUGGUCACUGUGACCAAUUGGGUAGCACCAACGACAGUUGGAGAGAUCCGGAGUUUUCUUGGACUGGCAGGAUACUACUGGAGAUUCAUUGAGAAUUUCUCAAAGAUUGCAAAGCCCAUGACGGAGUUGUUGAAGAAGGAUACCAAGUUCAAUUGGACUGAGGAAUGUGAUGCCAGUUUCUAGGAGUUGAAGGAACGUCUAGUUACCUCACUAGUGUUGAUUCUACCAGAUCAGAGCAAGGAUUAUGAGGUGUAUUGCGACGCUUCACGUCGAGGACUUGGAGCAGUGCUUAUGCAGGAGGGGAGAGUUGUUUUGUAUGCUUCACGAUAGCUUAAACCUCAUGAGUUGAAUUAUGCCACACAUGAUUUGGAGUUAGCAGCCAUAGUGCAUGCGUUGAAGACAUGGAGACAUUUUCUUAUCGAAAAUCAUUGUGAGGUGUACACAGAUCACAAGAGUUUGAAGUAUAUUUUCACGCAGAAUGAGUUGAAUCUCAGGCAGAGGAGAUGGUUGGAGCUCAUCAAGGAUUAUGAUAUGAGAUUCCAGUAUCACCCCGGAAAGGCUAACGUAGUAGACGACGCAUUGAGCCGUAAGAGCCAUGUCAAUACACUCAUGACCGGAGAGUUACCGAAGGAGUUAGCCGAGGAACUUCGUGAACUAUGUUUGGAGAUAGUUCCAAGAGGCUAUGUAGCAGUAAUGGAAAUUCAGUCGACUUUGAUGGAUAAGAUCAGGGAAGCUCAGAAGGCUGACAAGGAAAUUGCCGAGAUAAAGGAGAAGAUGAGCAAAGGUAAAGCUAAGGGAUUUCGUGAGGAUGAGCACGAUACCUUAUGGUUUGAAGACCGUGUUUAUGUGCCUAAUGACCCGGAGAUCAGGAAGUUGAUUUUGCAAGAGGCCCAUGAUUCGCCGUAUUCGAUUCACCCAGGAAAUACCAAGAUGUAUUUGGAUUUGAAGAACACUUUUUGGUGGACCGGAAUGAAGAAGGAUAUUGCGGAGUAUGUAGCAGUUUGUGAUGUAUGUCAUAGAGUAAAGGCAGAGCAUCAGAAGCCAGCAGGAUUGUUACAACCAUUGCCGAUACCCGAAUGGAAGUGGGAUAAACUAGGCAUGGAUUUUUUUACGGGAUUGCCCAAUACUCGUUCAGGCUAUGAUUCGAUUUGGGUUGUAGUCGAUCGUUUGACGAAGGUAGCACAUUUCAUUCUAGUGAUGUCCACUUACACCAGUGCUAAGUUGGCCAAGAUAUACAUAACCAGGAUCGUAUGUCUGCAUGGAGUUCCGAGGAGCAUUGUAUCAGAUAGAGGAACCCAGUUUACCUCAAAGUUCUGGAAUCAGUUGCGCGAAACUUUGGGUACCAGGCUAGAGUUCAGUACAACUUUUCAUCCGUAGACAGAUGGACAGACCGAGAGAGUCAAUCAGAUUUUGGAGGAUAUGCUGAGAGCUUGUGCGCUAGAUUAUGGAUCUAGUUGGGACAACAAUUUGCCAUAUGCAGAGUUCUCUUACAACAACAGUUAUCAAUCCAGCUUGAAGAUGGCCCCUUUCGAAGCCCUAUACGGAAGGAGGUGCAGGACCCCGUUGUCGUGGGAUGAAGUUGGAGACCGCCAGUUGUUUGGACCGCAUUUGAUUAAGGAGUCUGAAUGGAAAGUGAAGUUGAUUCGCGACAAGCUCAAGGUAGCCAGUCCAAGCAGAAAAGCUAUGUCGAUUCAAAACGCAAGGAGACAGUUUACAAAGUUGGAGAUAGAGUCUAUCUUCGUGUAUCACCACUUUGAGGAGUUAAGCGAUUUGGAGUUAAAGGAAAGUUAGCACCACGUUUUGUGGGACCAUACAAAGUUUUGGAGCGUAUGAGAGAAGUUGCCUACAAGUUGGAAUUGCCUGAAGGAUUGUCAGGAGUUCACAACGUGUUCCAUGUUUCACAGUUGAAGAAGUGCCACGCAGAGAUGGCUGAUAUACCGUUGAGAGAUACAGUGCCGCUAGAGGCAAUUCAGUUGGACAGUGAUUUGACCUAUGAGGAGAAACCAGUUAAGAUUCUUGAGUAUGCCAGCCGAGUCACCCGCGGCAAGGUUAUCAAGUUUUGCAAAGUUCAGUGGAGCCACCACACCCAGGAUGAAGCCACCUGGGAGCGAGAGGAAGAUCUGCUGAAGGACCAUCCUCACCUAUUUUCUAGCCAACCCGAAUCUCGAGGGCGAGAUUCAUCUUAAGGGGGGUAGGUUUGUAACAUCCCAAAUUUUCAAUUUGGAAUGUUAUACAAUAGAUCAUUAUUGCACAUCAUAUUUAUUGCAUUUUUUCCUCGAUCCUGGAAAUUCUACGCAACUCAAGGACCCAUGGAGAAAGUUGGGGAUUUCUUAAAUUUCAUAUUUGAGUUUUCUCAAAUUUUGGAAAUAGGAUCAUUUGAUUUUAUUUAUUUUAUCUUCAAUUAUUUCAAAUUAUAAAUUAUGAGAGAGGGAAUAAAAUGACUUUCCCAAAUAAAUAAAAUAUUGAGGAUUUAAUAAAAAAAUCAAAUAAGAUUUUAUUUUGGAUUUUAUUGCUAUUUUAUUUGAAUUUAGGGAAAAUGCGUGUUUUUCAAAAUUGCAUUUAGGCCCCAAAUAAAUGUUCAUCUAAACCGGCUUGAUUUUAGGAGCCGGGGAAAUUUUAUUUCGGGAUUUUUGGAGUCCGUUUAGUAUUUCUUUCGUUUGCUUUCCUGCGCGAAAAUUAUUAUUUUUAAAAAAAUCCGAACCGACUACGGGCUGGGAUCGGCCAGGACUCUCCUGGUCGGGGCCUUUAUAUAUCGCCACCCCAAGCCGCCACCGCCGCCCCAAACCCUAGCCGCCGCCAGCCCGCGCCGCCGCCACCGCCGCCGCCGCCACCGACGACCCGCACGCCGAGGUUGACCCCCCCGCCGUCACCGUUAUUUUAGAAAAACCGUUUGGUUUUUCCGUCGGUUAAUCUAUUUUUUUAUCAGAUCGGUUUUUUUGGUUUAGGUUAAUUAGCGAGUGUUCGCUCGUUUGUUCGUUUUAACGAACGCGUUCAUCGUUUAGAUCCAGACAACGAACGUUCGUUCGUUAAUCUUUUCGUCGUUUUUUUCUCGGAUUUAUUUCGCGAUUUUUCUGAUCGCGAUUUCUGAUCCGAUUUUCGUAUUAGUAUAACUUUUCGCUCGUUUAUCGGAAUCAGGCGAUUCAAGCGCCUAGAGUUUCGUCUCGAAACCCUCUUUCCGAAUAACCAACUCAAACAAGUUUUUGCUACUGUAAAAUUUGACUUAGGUCCAGAUUAGUAAACGAAGCUUGUUUCUUUCGCCGUUUGACUUUCCUUGCUUCGUUCGAUUUGAUUCUUUUUGCAAACCGGAGUUCUUAAGUUGAACUUUCUAGUUAGAUCUCUUAUCUGAGUUUUAUCUGUGCAUUAGAUGAGUACUUAUUGUAUGCUUGUUUGUUUGCGAUAGAGUAUCCGGAUUGCCGCGCUUGCUACUUCGAAUCCCUAGGUUUCGCGGAUCAUCAGCAAGGCAAGUAAAACUUUGAUCAUACCUCUUUACUACCCAGUUUUAUUGCAUUAGAUCAAUCCUCAAACAAUUGCAUGAUUAGGAACUGAUUUAAUAUGUGGAUUUUGGGAAGUAGAUGAGGUAGUGCCUAUUACCUGUUUUAUUAUCAAACCCUUGGGAGUUACUCUACGUUUGCUUAUUAUGCCAUGCUAUGCUAGUAGACGUGGAUUGGGUGAGUGUAUCCAUGACAGAUGUGAGAUUGUUAAUUUAAUGGUUUAUUUUAAGGUGGCAACUUUAAUACACAUCUGGGUGGAUUGAGGCACCUGGGUAUUCCAGCGAUUGCCUGUUUUUCUUUUGGACCGCCACCUAGGCUCAAAGGGAUCAUGAGAUUAUUCAUGCUAGAAACUUCCGUGUGCAACCACAAGCUACUAUGGGCUCUAGCAUAAUUGACUAAGUUGUGUGAACUCUUACAGUGGUAGACUAGCAGAUGUAGGGGAUGUAGGUUGGUACUGUCUACCCAAUCGUAAGGUGCUAGCGCUUCUGAAAGACUAUGUCUCAGUCAUCCGUUUCUCAAACACCAUGUAGUGCGAGAAUCCCAACGGAGGAGAUCGAGUCUUGUGGGGAAAAGUGCGCAAACCUCUGCAGAGUGUACAAACUAAUCAUGGUUAGCCGUGUCCCCGGUUAUGGACAUCUUGAGUAUCUAGUACUUGGAUUAUCAUGUGAAUCUCAUCAUGUUACUUUAAUUAAUAUUGUUUGGUUUGUUUAAUAAUGAUGUUACUUAAUUGGGAUUGAGAAUGCUGUCAACCAUUCUCAGUGUUUAACAACCACCAUGAUAGUUAAAUAAAUUUAUCCCUUUGCAGUAGGGAAAAAUUGGCUUUAUGCAAAAACUGUAACCAUAGAGCUUUCCACCAGCCAUAUAUACAUGUAGUAUAGCAUUAUUCUUUCAUUACUCUCUAUGUGUUAUAUUGCCAGCAUAUUCCAUGUGCUGACCCAUUUUGGGUUGCAACGUUCAUGUUGCAGACUUUUCAGACGACGAGUAAGAUGCCUUAGGAUCGUGGUUCUAUACUCAGUGAUGCCGUUGGAGUUGAUGGACUCACUUAUCUUCCAAGGCUUCCAUUGUUAUCGUUAUUUAGAUGGCCUUAAGCCAUAUUUAUUGUAAUAAGCUCUCUUUGGAGACAUUCGAUGUAAUAAGUGUGUGAUUGCUACUUUGUUAUAAAUCUUUCGAGUAC